rnacentral:rRNA from 1 species
ACUCCUACGGGAGGCAGCAGUGGGGAAUAUUGCACAAUGGGCGCAAGCCUGAUGCAGCGACGCCGCGUGGGGGAUGAAGGCCUUCGGGUUGUAAACUCCUUUCGCUAGGGACGAAGCUUUUUCGUGACGGUACCUAGAUAAGAAGCACCGGCUAACUACGUGCCAGCAGCCGCGGUAAUACGUAGGGUGCGAGCGUUGUCCGGAAUUACUGGGCGUAAAGGGCUCGUAGGUGGUUUGUCGCGUCGUCUGUGAAAUUCUGGGGCUUAACUCCGGGCGUGCAGGCGAUACGGGCAUAACUUGAGUGCUGUAGGGGUAACUGGAAUUCCUGGUGUAGCGGUGAAAUGCGCAGAUAUCAGGAGGAACACCGAUGGCGAAGGCAGGUUACUGGGCAGUUACUGACGCUGAGGAGCGAAAGCAUGGGUAGCGAACAGGAUUAGAAACCCUGGUAGUCCCAUGA